rnacentral:rRNA from 1 species
GAUGAACGCUGGCGGCGUGCCUAACACAUGCAAGUCGAACGAAGCAAUCAGAAUGAAGUUUUCGGAUGGAUUUCGGAUUGACUGAGUGGCAGACGGGUGAGUAACGCGUGGAUAACCUGCCUCACACUGGGGGAGUAACAGUUAGAAAUAGGCGUGCUAAUAACCGCAUAAGCGCACAGUGCCGCAUGGUACGGUGUGAAAACUACCGGUGGUGUGAGAUGGAUCCGCGUCUGAUUAGCCAGUUGGCGGGGUAACGGCCCACCAAAGACGACGAUCAGUAGCCGACCUGAGGAGGGU